rnacentral:rRNA from 1 species
UAAUACGUAGGGUGCGAGCGUUAAUCGGAAUUACUGGGCGUAAAGGGUGCGCAGGCGGUCUUGCAAGUCAGAUGUGAAAGCCCCGGGCUUAACCUGGGAAUUGCGUUUGAAACUACAAGGCUAGAGUGCAGCAGAGGGGAGUGGAAUUCCAUGUGUAGCAGUGAAAUGCGUAGAGAUGUGGAAGAACACCGAUGGCGAAGGCAGCUCCCUGGGUUGACACUGACGCUCAUGCACGAAAGCGUGGGGAGCAAACAGG